rnacentral:rRNA from 1 species
GAGUGGCGAACGGGUGAGUAACGCGUGGGUAACCUACCCCUGAAACGGGGAUAACCUCGCGAAAGCGGGGCUAAUACCGGAUAUUGUCCCGGGGACCGUGGUCCCUGGGAUGAAAGGUGACCUCUUCUUGAAAGUUGCCGUUCAGGGAUGGGCCCGCGUCUCAUUAGCUUGUUGGUAGGGUAAUGGCCUACCAAGGCGACGAUGGGUAGCUGGUCUGAGAGGAUGGCCAGCCACACUGGCACUGAAACACGGGCCAGACUCCUACGGGAGGCAGCAGUGAGGAAUUUUGCGCAAUGGGGGAAACCCUGACGCAGCAACGCCGCGUGAGUGAAGAAGGCCUUCGGGUUGUAAAGCUCUGUCAAGUGGGAAAAAUGUCCCGUCAUAAAUAGUUGCGGGAUUUGAUGGUACCGCUGAAGGAAGCACCGGCUAACUCCGUGCCAGCAGCCGCGGUAAUACGGAGGGUGCAAGCGUUGUUCGGAUUUAUUGGGCGUAAAGCGCGUGCAGGCGGGCCUGUAAGUCAGAUGUGAAAGCCUCCUGCUUAACAGGAGAAGUGCAUUUGAAACUACAGGUCUGGAGUAUGGGAGAGGAGAGUGGAAUUCCCAGUGUAGAGGUGAAAUUCGUAGAUAUUGGGAGGAACACCCGUGGCGAAGGCGACCCUCUGGACCAAUACUGACGCUGAGACGCGAAAGCGUGGGGAGCAAACAGGAUUAGAUACCCUGGUAGUCCACGCUGUAAACGGUGAGAACUAGGUGUAGCGGGUAUUGACCCCUGCUGUGCCGCAGCUAACGCAUUAAGUUCUCCGCCUGGGGAGUACGGCCGCAAGGCUAAAACUCAAAGGAAUUGACGGGGGCCCGCACAAGCGGUGGAGCAUGUGGUUUAAUUCGACGCAACGCGAAGAACCUUACCUGGGUUUGACAUCCUCUGACCGUCCUGGAAACAGGAUCUUUCCGACUUGUCGGAACAGAGAGACAGGUGCUGCAUGGCUGUCGUCAGCUCGUGUCGUGAGAUGUUGGGUUAAGUCCCGCAACGAGCGCAACCCUUGUCUUUAGUUGCCCUUAUUCAGUUAGGCACCCUAAAGAGACUGCCUCGGUUAACGAGGAGGAAGGUGGGGAUGACGUCAAGUCCUCAUGGCCUUUAUGCCCAGGGCUACACACGUGCUACAAUGGGCGGUACAAAGGGUCGCUACUUCGCAAGGAGAUGCUAAUCCCAAAAAGCCGCUCUCAGUUCGGAUUGGAGUCUGCAACUCGACUCCAUGAAGUUGGAAUCGCUAGUAAUCGUGGAUCAGCAUGCCACGGUGAAUACGUUCCCGGGCCUUGUACACACCGCCCGUCACACCACGAAAGUCGACUGUACCAGAAGU